UAGCUCAGCAGGGAGAGCGUUAGACUGAAGAUCUAAAUGUCCCCGGUUCGAUCCCGGG
rnacentral:tRNA from 1 species